UUAAAUUGAAGAGUUUGAUCAUGGCUCAGAUUGAACGCUGGCGGCAGGCCUAACACAUGCAAGUCGAACGGUAACAGGAAGCAGCUUGCUGCUUCGCUGACGAGUGGCGGACGGGUGAGUAAUGUCUGGGAAACUGCCUGAUGGAGGGGGAUAACUACUGGAAACGGUGGCUAAUACCGCAUAACGUCGCAAGACCAAAGAGGGGGACCUUCGGGCCUCUUGCCAUCAGAUGUGCCCAGAUGGGAUUAGCUAGUUGGUGAGGUAACGGCUCACCAAGGCGACGAUCCCUAGCUGGUCUGAGAGGAUGACCAGCCACACUGGAACUGAGA
rnacentral:rRNA from 1 species